GAUGAACGCUGGCGGCGUGCCUAACACAUGCAAGUCGAACGGAGAUUAUUGACGGAAGUUUUCGGAUGGAAGACAGUAAUCUUAGUGGCGGACGGGUGAGUAACGCGUGGGUAACCUGCCCCGUACAGGGGGAUAGCGUCGGGAAACUGACGGUAAGACCGCAUAGGACCACAUAUUCGCAUGGAUAAGUGGUGAAAAGGGAAACCUGGUAUGGGAUGGACCCGCGUCCGAUUAGCCAGUUGGCAGGGUAAAGGCCUACCAAAGCUUCGAUCGGUAGCCGGACUGAGAGGUCGGACGGCCACAUUGGGACUGAGACACGGCCCAGACUCCUACGGGAGGCAGCAGUGGGGGAUAUUGCACAAUGGAGGAAACUCUGAUGCAGCGACGCCGCGUGAGUGAAGAAGUGCUCCGGCAUGUAAAGCUCUUUCAGCAGGGAAGAUGAUGACGGUACCU
rnacentral:rRNA from 1 species